rnacentral:tRNA from 1 species
CAGUAAGUAGUUUAAUUUAAAAUAUUAAUUUUGGGGAUUAAUGAUAAGCUAUGCUUUUUACUGA